GACGAACGCUGGCGGCGUGCUUAACACAUGCAAGUCGAACGCUGAAGCUCAGCUUUUGUUGGGUGGAUGAGUGGCGAACGGGUGAGUAACACGUGAGUAACCUGCCCCCUUCUUUGGGAUAACGCCCGGAAACGGGUGCUAAUACUGGAUAUUCACUGGUCUUCGCAUGGGGGUUGGUGGAAAGGGUUUUUCUGGUGGGGGAUGGGCUCGCGGCCUAUCAGCUUGUUGGUGGGGUGAUGGCCUACCAAGGCUUUGACGGGUAGCCGGCCUGAGAGGGUGACCGGUCACAUUGGGACUGAGAUACGGCCCAGACUCCUACGGGAGGCAGCAGUGGGGAAUAUUGCACAAUGGGCGAAAGCCUGAUGCAGCGACGCCGCGGGAGGGAUGGAGGCCUUCGGGUUGUGAACCUCUUUCGCUCAUGGUCAAGCCGCAACAAUGGUUGUGGUGAGGGUAGUGGGUAAAGAAGCGCCGGCUAACUACGUG
rnacentral:rRNA from 1 species